rnacentral:misc_RNA from 1 species
CUAUAUGGAGGUCAAACGAGGAGGGGGCGGGGGUUUGAAGAAGAAGCCAAGUUGAGGUACUUGCUGGGAAAGGGCCACAUCAACGGGUUUGAGUUGACACAGAGGGAAAGAGCGAGCUCUCUGGACACACUGAGCAUUGUGUGGUGUCGUCGAAAAGGUCGUGCAUUGCACGUAGACGCAGCUCAGACAUGAUAAUACAGUGGUCGACGCUGAUGGAAAGAGGAACGGCUGCUCCCUCUCGCCAUGGUGUCGGACUUCGCCAGUGAAGCCUACGACUAGCAUUUGCACGAUCGCCAUUUUAACUCAUUGCUCAUGGAUCGAGCCAGCUCGACAGCGAUCAAGAGCGGCACUGACUGAAAAUGACAUCGAGUUGCUUUUUCUGUAUUUCGCUGUUCAGCAGCCUUUACGAACAUGUGUUGCGAAAAUCAUUCUAGAGAGCCAUGCCGAAGUACGUUUUUUUUUUUUGACCUACUGUGCCUGAUAAAGAUCGACCUGCUUGCGGGUAAACUAGCGUGACAGCAGGCGCGGAAAUAAAGAAAACGACAAAAAAUACGUUUAUGACUUUCAGAACUUGAUUCUGACAGAAGCACCUUUAUAUGAGGGUGCGCCUCUAAGCCUCAAGACAUUUGCUCGCCACAGUCUCGAUGUGUAUGCCAAUGUCGCGUCUCGCGACCCUCCCAAAGGUGAUUGUGUAUCCAAGAGAGAGAAUAGAAGUUUUUGUUUUCAAACAGGUGAAGGGAAAAAUUUAGUGCUGUGAGUGAUGAGUUCAGACUGAGGCUGUUUAUGUGUAGCCUUUUGCCUUACCUGAGUACUUUUGGUUU